ACUUGGAGAGGUGUGUGGCCACUUGGAGAGGUGUGUGGCCACUUGGAGAGGUGUGUGGCCACUUGGAGAGGUGUGUGGGAACUUGGAGAGGUGUGUGAGAACUUGGAGAGGUGUGUGGCCACUUGGAGAGGUGUGUGGGAACUUGGAGAGGUGUGUGGGAACUUGGAGAGGUGUGUGGGAACUUGGAGAGGUGUGUGGCCACUUGGAGAGGUGUGUGGCCACUUGGAGAGGUGUGUGGCCACUUGGAGAGGUGUGUGGCCACUUGGAGAGGCGUGUGGGUACUUGGAGAGGUGUGUGGGAACUUGGAGAGGUGUGUGGCCACUUGGAGAGGUGUGUGGCCACUUGGAGAGGUGUGUGGCCACUUGGAGAGGUGUGUGGCCACUUGGAGAGGUGUGUGGCCACUUGGAGAGGUGUGUGGGAACUUGGAGAGGUGUGUGGGAACUUGGAGAGGUGUGUGGCCACUUGGAGAGGUGUGUGGGAACUUGGAGAGGUGUGUGGCCACUUGGAGAGGUGUGUGGGAACUUGGAGAGGUGUGUGGGCACUUGGAGAGGUGUGUGGCCACUUGGAGAGGCGUGUGGCCACUUGGAGAGGUGUGUGGCCACUUGGAGAGGCGUGUGGCCACUUGGAGAGGUGUGUGGCCACUUGGAGAGGUGUGUGGCCACUUGGAGAGGUG